CUGAAUGAUCCGAGUCAAAGUC
rnacentral:miRNA from 1 species